GCGCCAUCAGCAGUAGCGGAAGUAGUAGCCGACAACUCGAAAAACGGUGAAGCAGUUACAUAACUUUAUGGACGUUAAAGUGUCUGCCUAGAAGGAGACUACGAGUGUCUGGUUUACGUCAAGUUCAACUAUAAGGUGUCCACGAUAGUAAACAACUAAUACCUUUAGAUUCUUCGAUUAUAUUUAUUGGCGUUGAGAUCAAAUAGCUUCUAGUCUCUAGAGAACAACUCAGGAUGUCGUCGCCAAUGUCUGCCCGUGGCAUUCUGUGGGGUCUUAUCCUAGUUGGGGUGAUACUACUCAGCUUGUCGGUGGAAUCGCAGGCACGCUAUCUUCCUACAAGAGCAGACCCGGCGCGACGAGAACGGAUCCGGGAGAUUCUAAGAGCGCUGUUACUUCUCUCGCCCGGCGAGCCCGAAGCACGCGGUCCAUACACUUCGAGUUAUGAAUAUGGCACCGGGGCGGGCGAUCUGAAGGGGCUUGAAAGAAGUGACUGGGAUUCGUCAUCGACAUGAUUGCCAUCCGUACGCAAGCUAGGGCAGUUUAAGCUGAAGCAAAAUAACAACAACAGCAACAACAAUAACAACAAAGCUAAGAAGAAGCCCUAACCCUUUUUCCUGUUUGGAAGACAUGUUACGAAAGAGAAGGAGAGGAAGCGGGCUACGCCGUAGCAAGAUAUAGCAGACGAGUGGAAGAGUGGCAGAGAAAAGGAAUUAAAAGCAAACGGAGGAGGAGGGGGAGCAUGGGGAGGACAAGGAGGAGAUGAGAGACGAAUGGAAAAAGAAUAGUGCACGACACACAAAAAAUGUUUCUUUGAUUGCCCUUGUUCAAGACGUUUCAUGAGUCUGUUUUAGUUUUACGUUGUUGUUAGCGUUGCUUCGGGGUGUGAAGCAACUUACGCCGGACGACUACAUUCCAGCGGAAGCCAUACGAAUGAAUCGGCAAGUGUCCCACCACGAGUAAUUGGCAUCACCCAGCGCAUCAAUCGUCAAGUGGCAAUCACGACCAAAUUCACAAUCCCCGCGAAAAGCGGUGCAGAUAAAGCUUUUCAGCAGAGAAAUGAGCGCAAAAAUCAAUUAAUCGUACAUCUGAUACGAGGCACGAUAUGCACAUUAUAUCAUGCCACACAGUACAUUAAUUAAUGGAAGUAAUAAAUAUCCGUGGAUCCAGUAUGUCCCAUCGACCCACAGAUCGAAACAGCUAUCGACAGCCUAUGGAAGUGGUCCUAUUAAAAAAAAAACAGCACCACUCAAAUAGGCAUCAUGUACUCUUCUGGUACUAUUACUGCUUUACGAGGGUCGAGUUACUAUGGUUUUGAGGUUUCAGUAAUGACUUCGUAGCGCCAUCUUUAGGUGUUGUGGAGUUUUCCCUCUAGGAAGGCAGAGUCACUUUAACAAGAAUCAACAUUCAGGCACCGCAAAUAUAUGGCAGCACCCUCUAUGGUUGUAGGUGAAAGGUAAAAUGAAACACAACUAAGAUACAUAAUGGAGACACGUAACAUCUACCCUUAUUUAAAGCAAAAAAAAACAGACAAAUUAUAAAUAAAACUGUUUUUG
rnacentral:lncRNA from 1 species